rnacentral:rRNA from 1 species
GACGAACGCUGGCGGCGUGCCUAAUACAUGCAAGUAGGACGCAGUUGCGAACGUGUGAGUAACGCGUAGGUAACUACCUAUUAGAGGGGGCUAACUAUUGGAAACGAUAGCUAAUACCGCAUACUAGUAGAUGGACCUGCGUUGUAUUAGCUAGUAGGUCGGGUAAUGGCCUACCUAGGCAACGAUACAUAGCCGACCUGGGAGGGUUAUCGGCCAAACCGGGACUUGGAAAAGGCCCAGACUCCUACGGGAGGGAGCAGGAGGGAAUCUUCGGCAAUGGGGGGAACCCUGACCGAGCAAAGCCGCGUGAGUGAAGAAGGGUUUCGGAUCGUAAAGCUCUGUUGUUAAGGAAGCGGUACUUAACCAGAAAGGGACGGCUAACUACGUGCCAGCAGCCGCGGUAAUAC